AGAGUUUGAUCCUGGCUCAGGACGAACGCUGGCGGCGUGCUUAACACAUGCAAGUCGAACGAUGAAGGAGGAGCUUGCUCCUCCGGAUUAGUGGCGAACGGGUGAGUAACACGUGAGUAACCUGCCCUUGACUCUGGGAUAAGCGCUGGAAACGGCGUCUAAUACCGGAUACGACAACCGACGGCAUCGUCUGGUUGUGGAAAGAAUUUCGGUCAAGGAUGGACUCGCGGCCUAUCAGCUUGUUGGUGAGGUAAUGGCUCACCAAGGCGACGACGGGUAGCCGGCCUGAGAGGGUGACCGGCCACACUGGGACUGAGACACGGCCCAGACUCCUACGGGAGGCAGCAGUGGGGAAUAUUGCACAAUGGGCGCAAGCCUGAUGCAGCAACGCCGCGUGAGGGAUGACGGCCUUCGGGUUGU
rnacentral:rRNA from 1 species